UAGGGUGUUCAGCGAGAAGGCCUGCCU
rnacentral:piRNA from 1 species